UACGUAGGGGGCAAGCGUUGUCCGGAAUCAUUGGGCGUAAAGCGCGUGUAGGCGGCUCGAUAAGUCUGCUGUGAAAGUCCAGGGCUCAACCCUGGGAUGCCGGUGGAUACUGUCGAGCUCGAGUCCGGAAGAGGAGUGUGGAAUUCCUGGUGUAGCGGUGAAAUGCGCAGAUAUCAGGAGGAACACCAAUUGCGAAGGCAGCUCGCUGGGACGUUACUGACGCUGAGACGCGAAAGCGUGGGGAGCAAACAGG
rnacentral:rRNA from 1 species